rnacentral:rRNA from 1 species
AACGAACGCUGGCGGCAUGCUUAACACAUGCAAGUCGAACGAGACCUCCGGGUCUUGUGGCGCACGGGUGCGUAACGCGUGGGAACUUGCCCUUAGGUUCGGUAUAAUUCCCCGAAAGGGGUGCUAAUACCGGUUAAUCUCAUAGGACCAAAGAUCUAUUGCUUUUGGAUGGGCCCGCGUUGGAUUAGCUGGUUGGUAGGGUAAUAGCCUGCCAAGGCGACGUUCCAUAGCUGGUCUGGGAGGAUGAUCAGCCACACUGGGGCUAAGGCACGGCCCAGACUGGUACGGAGGAGUGGAGUAGAGAGUAUUAGGCGAUGAACCAAGGCGUGACACAGCAGUGUCGCGGAUGAGGGGAAGGCGUUAGUAUUGUGAAGCUCUUUUAGACGAAGUGAUAAUGACGGUACCGGGAGAAUAAGCACCGGCUAACUCCGUG